rnacentral:rRNA from 1 species
GGAAGACCAAGGGUUCCUGUCCAACGUUAAUCGGGGCAGGGUGAGUCGACCCCUAAGGCGAGGCCGAAAGGCGUAGUCGAUGGGAAACAGGUUAAUAUUCCUGUACUUGGUGUUACUGCGAAGGGGGGACGGAGAAGGCUAUGUUGGCCGGGCGACGGUUGUCCCGGUUUAAGCGUGUAGGCUGGUUUUCCAGGCAAAUCCGGAAAAUCAAGGCUGAGGCGUGAUGACGAGGCACUACGGUGCUGAAGCAACAAAUGCCCUGCUUCCAGGAAAAGCCUCUAAGCAUCAGGUAACAUCAAAUCGUACCCCAAACCGACACAGGUGGUCAGGUAGAGAAUACCAAGGCGCUUGAGAGAACUCGGGUGAAGGAACUAGGCAAAAUGGUGCCGUAACUUCGGGAGAAGGCACGCUGAUAUGUAGGUGAAGUCCCUCGCGGAUGGAGCUGAAAUCAGUCGAAGAUACCAGCUGGCUGCAACUGUUUAUUAAAAACACAGCACUGUGCAAACACGAAAGUGGACGUAUACGGUGUGACGCCUGCCCGGUGCCGGAAGGUUAAUUGAUGGGGUUAGCG